rnacentral:rRNA from 1 species
UGGGGAAUUUUGCGCAAUGGGGGAAACCCUGACGCAGCAACGCCGCGUGAGUGAUGAAGGCUUUCGGGUCGUAAAGCUCUGUCGGAGGGGAAGAAAUGGAAACGGUUAAUACCCGUUUUCCUUGACGGUACCCUCAAAGGAAGCACCGGCUAACUCCGUGCCAGCAGCCGCGGUAAUACGGAGGGUGCAAGCGUUGUUCGGAUUUAUUGGGCGUAAAGCGCGUGUAGGCGGUUUCUUAAGUCUGAUGUGAAAGCCCUGGGCUCAACCCAGGAAGUGCAUUGGAUACUGGGAGACUUGAAUACGGGAGAGGGUAGUGGAAUUCCUAGUGUAGGAGUGAAAUCCGUAGAUAUUAGGAGGAACACCGGUGGCGAAGGCGGCUACCUGGACCGAUAUUGACGCUGAGACGCGAAAGCGUGGGGAGCAAACA